UCCCUAGUGGUCUAGUGGUUAGAACUUGGCACUAUCGCUGCUGUGGCCUAGGUUCAAUCCCCAGUCUGGGAA
rnacentral:tRNA from 1 species